rnacentral:rRNA from 1 species
CCUACGGGUGGCAGCAGUGAGGAAUAUUGGUCAAUGGGCGCGAGCCUGAACCAGCCAAGUAGCGUGAAGGAUGACUGCCCUACGGGUUGUAAACUUCUUUUAUAAGGGAAUAAAGUGAGGCACGUGUGCCUUUUUGUAUGUACUUUAUGAAUAAGGAUCGGCUAACUCCGUGCCAGCAGCCGCGGUAAUACGGAGGAUCCGAGCGUUAUCCGGAUUUAUUGGGUUUAAAGGGAGCGUAGGUGGGUUGUUAAGUCAGUUGUGAAAGUUUGCGGCUCAACCGUAAAAUUGCAGUUGAUACUGGCAGGCUUGAGUACAGUUGAGGUAGGCGGAAUUCGUGGUGUAGCGGUGAAAUGCUUAGAUAUCACGAAGAACUCCGAUUGCGAAGGCAGCCUACGAAACUGCCACUGACACUGAUGCUCGAAAGUGUGGGUAUCAAACAGGAUUAGAUACCCGAGUAGUC